GUCACUAACAAUGAUAUUCCAUUUCAUGAUAUGGGGCAGGUGUUGCUGGAGAGCGUCUCUCCAGGUUCUACCAAGCCCCGCAGUCCCACAAUCCAUGUAUAAAAUAAUCACUCAGACGCUUAUAUCACUUAUAAACUGUAUGACCGUGGCAGGCUCCUUGCCAACUGUUCUUAUAUCUUAA